GGUUAAGCGACUAAGCGUACACGGUGGAUGCCCUGGCAGUCAGAGGCGAUGAAGGGCGUGCUAAUCUGCGAUAAGCGCCGGUAAGGUGAUAUGAACCGUUAUAACCGGCGAUACCCGAAUGGGGAAACCCAGUGUGAUUCGUCACACUAUCAUUAACUGAAUCCAUAGGUUAAUGAGGCGAACCGGGGGAACUGAAACAUCUAAGUACCCCGAGGAAAAGAAAUCAACCGAGAUUCCCCCAGUAGCGGCGAGCGAACGGGGAGGAGCCCAGAGCCUGAAUCAGCAUGUGUGUUAGUGGAAGCGUCUGGAAAGGCGCGCGAUACAGGGUGACAGCCCCGUACACAAAAGCGCAUGUGCUGUGAGCUCGAUGAGUAGGGCGGGACACGUGGUAUCCUGUCUGAAUAUGGGGGGACCAUCCUCCAAGGCUAAAUACUCCUGACUGACCGAUAGUGAACCAGUACCGUGAGGGAAAGGCGAAAAGAACCCCGGCGAGGGGAGUGAAAAAGAACCUGAAACCGUGUACGUACAAGCAGUGGGAGCACAGGUUUACCUGUGUGACUGCGUACCUUUUGUAUAAUGGGUCAGCGACUUAUAUUCUGUAGCAAGGUUAACCGUAUAGGGGAGCCGUAGGGAAACCGAGUCUUAACCGGGCGUUAAGUUGCAGGGUAUAGACCCGAAACCCGGUGAUCUAGCCAUGGGCAGGUUGAAGGUUGGGUAACACUAACUGGAGGACCGAACCGACUAAUGUUGAAAAAUUAGCGGAUGACCUGUGGCUGGGGGUGAAAGGCCAAUCAAACCGGGAGAUAGCUGGUUCUCCCCGAAAGCUAUUUAGGUAGCGCCUCGUGAAUUCAUCUCCGGGGGUAGAGCACUGUUUCGGCUAGGGGGCCAUCCCGGCUUACCAACCCGAUGCAAACUGCGAAUACCGGAGAAUGUUAUCACGGGAGACACACGGCGGGUGCUAACGUCCGUCGUGAAGAGGGAAACAACCCAGACCGCCAGCUAAGGUCCCAAAGUCAUGGUUAAGUGGGAAACGAUGUGGGAAGGCCCAGACAGCCAGGAUGUUGGCUUAGAAGCAGCCAUCAUUUAAAGAAAGCGUAAUAGCUCACUGGUCGAGUCGGCCUGCGCGGAAGAUGUAACGGGGCUAAACCAUGCACCGAAGCUGCGGCAGCGACGCUGAUGCGUUGUUGGGUAGGGGAGCGUUCUGUAAGCCUGCGAAGGUGACCUGUGAGGGUUGCUGGAGGUAUCAGAAGUGCGAAUGCUGACAUAAGUAACGAUAAAGCGGGUGAAAAGCCCGCUCGCCGGAAGACCAAGGGUUCCUGUCCAACGUUAAUCGGGGCAGGGUGAGUCGACCCCUAAGGCGAGGCCGAAAGGCGUAGUCGAUGGGAAACGGGUUAAUAUUCCCGUACUUGGUGUUACUGCGAAGGGGGGACGGAGAAGGCUAUGUUGGCCGGGCGACGGUUGUCCCGGUUUAAGCGUGUAGGUGUGUGUUCCAGGUAAAUCCGGUUCACUUUAACACUGAGGCGUGACGACGAGGCACUACGGUGCUGAAGCAACAAAUGCCCUGCUUCCAGGAAAAGCCUCUAAGCAUCAGGUAACACGAAAUCGUACCCCAAACCGACACAGGUGGUCAGGUAGAGAAUACCAAGGCGCUUGAGAGAACUCGGGUGAAGGAACUAGGCAAAAUGGUGCCGUAACUUCGGGAGAAGGCACGCUGACACGUAGGUGAAGUGAUUUACUCAUGGAGCUGAAGUCAGUCGAAGAUACCAGCUGGCUGCAACUGUUUAUUAAAAACACAGCACUGUGCAAACACGAAAGUGGACGUAUACGGUGUGACGCCUGCCCGGUGCCGGAAGGUUAAUUGAUGGGGUCAGCGCAAGCGAAGCUCCUGAUCGAAGCCCCGGUAAACGGCGGCCGUAACUAUAACGGUCCUAAGGUAGCGAAAUUCCUUGUCGGGUAAGUUCCGACCUGCACGAAUGGCGUAAUGAUGGCCAGGCUGUCUCCACCCGAGACUCAGUGAAAUUGAACUCGCUGUGAAGAUGCAGUGUACCCGCGGCAAGACGGAAAGACCCCGUGAACCUUUACUAUAGCUUGACACUGAACAUUGAGCCUUGAUGUGUAGGAUAGGUGGGAGGCUUUGAAGCGUGGACGCCAGUCUGCGUGGAGCCGACCUUGAAAUACCACCCUUUAAUGUUUGAUGUUCUAACGUGGACCCGUGAUCCGGGUUGCGGACAGUGUCUGGUGGGUAGUUUGACUGGGGCGGUCUCCUCCUAAAGAGUAACGGAGGAGCACGAAGGUUGGCUAAUCCUGGUCGGACAUCAGGAGGUUAGUGCAAUGGCAUAAGCCAGCUUGACUGCGAGCGUGACGGCGCGAGCAGGUGCGAAAGCAGGUCAUAGUGAUCCGGUGGUUCUGAAUGGAAGGGCCAUCGCUCAACGGAUAAAAGGUACUCCGGGGAUAACAGGCUGAUACCGCCCAAGAGUUCAUAUCGACGGCGGUGUUUGGCACCUCGAUGUCGGCUCAUCACAUCCUGGGGCUGAAGUAGGUCCCAAGGGUAUGGCUGUUCGCCAUUUAAAGUGGUACGCGAGCUGGGUUUAGAACGUCGUGAGACAGUUCGGUCCCUAUCUGCCGUGGGCGCUGGAGAACUGAGGGGGGCUGCUCCUAGUACGAGAGGACCGGAGUGGACGCAUCACUGGUGUUCGGGUUGUCAUGCCAAUGGCACUGCCCGGUAGCUAAAUGCGGAAGAGAUAAGUGCUGAAAGCAUCUAAGCACGAAACUUGCCCCGAGAUGAGUUCUCCCUGAGACUUAGAGUCUCCUGAAGGAACGUUGAAGACGACGACGUUGAUAGGCCGGGUGUGUAAGCGCAGCGAUGCGUUGAGCUAACCGGUACUAAUGAACCGUGAGGCUUAACCUU
rnacentral:rRNA from 1 species